rnacentral:rRNA from 1 species
GAUGAACGCUAGCGGCAGGCCUAACACAUGCAAGUCGAACGGUAACAGGAAUUAGCUUGCUAAUUUGCUGACGAGUGGCGCACGGGUGCGUAACGCGUAUACAAUCUACCUUUUGCUGAGGGAUAGCCCAGAGAAAUUUGGAUUAAUACCUCAUAAUAUUUUUAACUCGCAUGAGUUUUAAAUUAAAACUUCGGUGGUAAAAGAUGGGCAUGCGUUCUAUUAGUUUGUUGGUGAGGUAACGGCUUACCAAGACUAUGAUAGAUAGGGGUUCUGAGAGGAUAGUCCCCCACACUGGUACUGAGACACGGCCCUU